CUUAUACUAUGGCGGUGACAGAGAAAUGUGAUGUGUACAGCUUUGGAGUUGUGGCGCUUGAAACUUUGAUGGGAAGGCAUCCGGGAGAUAUCCUAUCAUCAUCUGCUCAGGCUAUUACACUGAAAGAAGUGUUAGAUCCUCGUUUGCCACCUCCAACAAAUGAGAUUGUCGUACAAAAUAUAUGUACCAUUGCAAGUCUUAUAUUUUCUUGCUUACAUUCAAAUCCAAAAAAUCGACCUUCGAUGAAAUUUGUGUCUCAAGAAUUUCUAUCUCCCAAGAGAUUAUUGGGAGGUCUCGAGAUUUCUUUGUUGGAGCUUCGAAAUCUUGGCUGGCACACAAAUGUAGGUGAGAUCAUAGUUCCUCGCUGAAAAAGUCAACUUCGAGCUCACAUGGAACUUCAACGAGAGCGCCUCCAAGAGUAUGUGUUUAUAGAAUUUCUUAAUUUUGGAUGAACUUUUUUUCUUUUGUUUUGUUUUAGCACACUACACGACUUUGUAAUAUUUUAGUGUGACAUUGUAUGUAAUUCUAAUAAUGCACACUUUUCUUGUGCAUGAUAACUAGUAUCAAUAUAUAUGAGCAUCAUAUUAAGUCUACCUCUCUAUACGUCGAGGUUAAAUUGAAAUCAUCACUCAUCUUAUAAUUAGGCAAAUCCACACUUGAAAUAUGCAGAAGAUAUUUGUUAACUACAUUAAUUUGUCCCUGCAAGCUCUUGUAUAAUAGAUGCCUGAAAGUAGUGAUUGGAUCUACUCUCUACAGUCUGUUCUGACUCCUAUAACUAUCUGAGCAACAUGUUUUGUUUCCCCCCCCCUGAAUGAUGCACCUUAUUAUUUAUCAUUUGGCACAGAUUGAAUUUUCAAUCAUCUUCCACUCCAAAUGAAGAUUUACGUCUCAUGUUAGGGACCAAGCUUUGACCUCAAGGAUAGUGAGUCGAGAUGUCCACCCUCCAUAUACUAGAUAGACAUGCCCCAACAUCGGCCACCAUGUCUAUCUAGUAAAAUGUACAAGAUCCCUAGCUAUAGAUUAUUUUCAAUCUCAGAGACAUUUACUAACAGAGAAAAUAUAUCAUAGUAUCCGAUUAUGAGUGUCGCACGUGUGCAGCGUCGCGGCGAAAAUAACAUAGUUGUUUGUUUUCAUUUUCUUAAUCUACAAUGUAAAUCUAUCUAUAUCUAUGGGGAUACAAGAAAAUACUGUCUUUUAUUGGUAGAAAAUGGAAUGGGAGUCGCCACCUAGUAUUUUGGUCACUAGGAACCCUAACUGGUCUCAGAGAUCGGGUACGGGGACUGGUUGCGUAAAGAAAAGGUAUUAGCACCCCAAAUACGCCCUAUCUAAGGUAAGCUGCAUUGUUUUAUUGUCUGAUAAAAUCUAAGGUCUUUUCGUGUUUUCCUAGUUGCUUGUAUGGUUUAAGAAAAGUCCUCCCCUGUAAGGAGAUCCUUAUCUUAAAGGGUAAUCCUAACCGUUCUAACUUCUAUACCAAAACUUUAUUAAUAGUAUUUAGGAAUACGUUUUACAUAUAAAUUCGUAAUCCCAAAUACUACAAGAAAACAAAAAGAUUUUUUUAGAAUUUUUGAAAUAUUGGCCUAAUUCUCAUGGCUUGAAUAAACUGGUUAUUAAAGCCAAAAUGCAUGCUAAUACAUAUAUUGUUUUGAGAAUUUUCUUUGUUGUGUGAAAAUAUGAUGUUAUAAUAUUUAUAUAUAUAUAUUGGAGAGACUAGGCCGUAUUUUAAAACAAAAACAAUUUUUUUUGAAUUUUUUUUUUAUGCUUUGACGAAAAUUGGGUAUUUUAAUAAUGAGUUUGUAUCCUUACGGUAUAAAAAUACUAACCAACAUUAAUCCACCUUAAUAAAAAAUAUGCAGGAAAAAUCAACAAUAUUUUUAAAGAACUUUUGGAAUUUUUUGAAAGUAAAAACAUUUUUUAUUUUGAAAAUCUUUGAUGUUUUGACGAAAACCGGGUAUUUUAAUACUGGAUUUAUAUCUUUACGGUAUAAAAAUACAAACCAACAUUAAGCCAUUUUGACAAAAAUAUGCAGGAAAAUCAAUAAUAUUUUUCAAGAUUUUUUAGAAUAUAUUUUUUAAAAUAUACAUACAUAUAUAAUAUAAUAUAAUAUAUAAUAGUAUAUAAUAUAAUAUAUUAUGUGGGCCGGCCCGGCCCAACCGAAUGGGCCAGACUCAGCCCAGCAGGAAUGGGGCCGAUUUCGGCCCAGAAUGGAUUGGGCCGAUCUCGGCCCAAUAAAAAACUCAUAUCUAGGCCGGACUUGGCCCAUAUAGCUGGGAUGGGCCAGACCUGGUCUAGCCCAUCAAACACAGGGAUGGGCCAGACCCAGUCUGGCCCAAAAAAAUGCUGGGCCAGGAUCCGCCUGGCCCAGCUACGCAUCGUCAGGGGGGAAAUUAUUUCCCCCCUCCUCCUGCAUGCAGAACGUUCGUUCUGCAUGCAGGGAAACAAAUUAAAAUGCCAACAGCUAGGGGGGAGAAGAAGUUACCUGGCGUGGAAGAGGCGGUCGCGGGUGGUGCUGCGGUGGAGGCCGGUGGUCGUCGUGGCUCACGGACGGCGGCUCCCAGCGGCGGUGCUGCUGCUCAAACGGCGAAAAAAAGAUUUUCUUCCUCUUCCCCUCUUCUUUUUUUCGUUUUCGGUAUUUCUUUCUUUUCCUUCCUUUCUCUUUGUUUUCUGUUUUCUUUUCUUUUGUUUUCGAUUUAUUCUUUCCUCUUUUCUCUCUCUCUUCGGUCUCCUCUCUCUCUCCUCCCUUCGGUCCGUUUUUUUUCCUUUUCUUUUUGUUCUCUCUUUAUAGGUGAGAAAAGGCGUUGGGACCGUUAUUAGUGCGCCUGGGGAGCGGGUUUCGCGGCGGCUGGUCGGCCGCCACCCGCGACAGCAAGGCACCGUUCCUUUACUUUCGGCCGGUGGUCGGCCAAUGACUUCGGUCGGUGGUCCCACGGUGUGGGGCUUCGGGCUGUUCGGUGGAGAUGCAGAGGAGAGAGGGGUGGGAAGAUUUUCAAAAACAAAGUUUUCUUCCUUCUGUUGCAGGUUCGGGGGGAGGGGAAGAAGAAAGGGGAACAGUGUCGUUCAAAACGGCACCGUUCAGUCUUUUUUUUUUUUUUUUUUAUGUAUGAAACAACGUCGUUUUGGAGAAAACGCGCCGUUUCAUUUAAAAAUGGCCCUAGAACGCGCCAAAUUUCCAACUUAGGCCUCAAUCAUCUUUGUUCAUUUCAAUUGCGUCCCUGCCAAUUUCGAUCCCCGCCCCCAUAGUUGGCCGCGAUUUUCACUUUGGUCCUUGGCCUCUGAUUUAUGCAAUUAAGCCCUCAAUUGAUCAAUAAGCUUCCAAUUUCUUCAAUUAGGCCCCUGAAUCAAUUCAAAACAGCCCCCCCUCUAUUUACCCGCUUUUUCCAAAUUGGUCUCUGGUUUCGAAUUUUCACAAUUAAACCCCUAAUUGGCCAUUAAACUUCAAUAUUUAUGCAAUUAAGCCCCUGAUUUGACCCAAUAAAUUCCUAAAAAAUAUAUUUUGGCCCCAGAACUUAAAUUUCUUCUAAUUAAAGCCCAAAUUGACUUAAAAAUCGAUUUUUCUUGCAAUCAAAUCCUCUAUAAAUUCAAAUAAAAAUCCAAUUAAGUCCAUAAACAUCCAAAUUUGAACUUUUCUCCUCAAACUUCCAAUUUUCUUAUCCAAUAGGGCUCUCAUCAUUCAAGAAUAUAUUGUCAAAAAUCCAUCUUUGUAUUUUUAAUCUCCUUGACCGAUUUUUCUGACCAUUUGCUGAGCGCUUCUGCCUCCUGAUAUUUUUCUAACCUCCUUUGGCUAUUUAUUUUAUUUCAUUUAUUUGGGGACCCGAAAAUGGGUUACAACAAUGAGCACAUGAUUUCUUCGUAUCAGCAUCUGAUUUAUAAAAUAUUGAAACCAAUUUUUAAAGUUGAAAUUCUUUACCUUUGUCGCACCCCCACAAAAAAACAAAUUUCAAUUUGCGAUUUUACGGGUUCGACUGGCGAAUUUUUAUUUUUUGGUUUGAUUUGGUUCUUUGGAGUCGCCACCUAGUAUUUUGAUCACUAGGAACCUUAACUGGUCUCAGAGAUCAGGUACGGAGACUGGUUGCGUAAAGGGAAGGUAUUAGCACCCCAAAUACGCCUUACCUGAGGUAAACUGCAUUGUUUUAUUGUCUGAUAAAAAAAAAACUAAAGUGUUAUUAUGUUUUUCUAGUUGUUGGUCUGUCUAUGGUUCAAGAAAAAUCCCCCUCGGUAAGGAGGUCUUUAUCUUAUCGGGUAAAAAUCCUAACCGUUCUAACGUCCAUACCAAAAUUUUAUUAAUAAUAUUUAGGAAUACGUUUUACGUAUAAAUUCGUAAUCCCAAAUAUUAAAAGAAAACAAAAAGAUUUUUUUUAGAAUUUUUGAAAUAUUGGCCUAGUUCUCAUGGCUUGAAUAAACUGGUUAUUAAAGCCAAAAUGCAUGUUAAUACAUAUAUUGUUUUUUGAAAAUUUUCUUUGUUGUGUGAAAAUAUGAUGUUAUAAUAUUUAUGUAUAUAUAUUGGAGAGACUAGGCCGUAUUUUAAAACAAAAACAAUUUUUGGAAAAUAUUAUUUUUUUUAUGCUUUGACGAAAAUCGGGUAUUUUAAUACUGAGCUUGUAUCCUUACGGUAUAAAAAUACAACCCAAUAUUAAUCCAUUUUGAUAAAAAUAUGCAGAAAAAUCAACAACAUUUUUAGGGACUUUGUAGAAUUUUUUGAAAGCAAAACAUUUUUUAUUCUGAAAAUCUUUGAUAUUUUGACGAAAACCGUGUAUUUUAAUACCAGAUUUGUAUCUUUACAAUAUAAAAAUACAAACUGAUAUUGACCAAAAUACAGUAAUAAAAUUACAGAAAAAUCACAAAUUCUUUGAAAUAUCUUUUUUUGAAAAUUUUUUAUUUUUUUUUAUAUAUAUAUAUAUAUUUUUUUGGGUGAGGCCCACGUGGCUGGGCUGCACCCAGCAAGCCUCAUGUGAACAGUGAAUCAUGUCUUAUGUGAACAGUGAAUAGCAUUUCACUGUUCAAUUGAAUUAUAUUUGAUGUGAACAGUGAAUUAACAUUUCACUUGAACAGUAAAAUGCAAGGAAAUGGUGCAUGCACAGCGACGAAAGGGGGUGCAAACCUGGUGGCAGAAACGAUGCCGAAGUCGAUGGCUAACACUCCCAGUGAUGCUGGUGGCGGUGGACAGGAAGCCAAUGGGGGUUCACGGUGGUUCUGACGGUGGCAGUGGUUGGGAAGCUCGAUGACAGCAGCUGCCUUCUCUUCUUCUUCCCCUUUACAGAGGCGUUUCUUCUUCUCUUGGUUUCUUUCAGUCAGCAAUGUUCUUCCCUCUCUAUGGCAGCUUUGUGAAGGCGCUGGUAGUGGUGGCCGGGGAGUGACUGGGACGGUGGUCGGUGACUGUGGAGUGUGGUGUUCAGCCUUUCUCCCUUUUCUUCUCUGCGUUCCUCUUCAGCUGUCUCCUCCUCUGUGUGCUGGGUUGGGCGCUAUUUAUAGAGCCAGUGGGCGUGGCUUCACCGUGGAGCCAAGGAGCGGGUCGGGGAGCGGCUCAUGUGAACAGUGAAUAGUAUUUCACUGUUCACGUGAAUUAUAUUUGAUAUGCACAGUGAUCUUAGCAUUUCACUGUUCACGUGAAUUAUAUUUGAUAUGCACAGUGGACUAGCAUUUCACUGUUCACGUGAAUUAUAUUUCACUUGAACAGUGAAAUGCAAGGAAAUGGUGUAUGCAGAACGACUUCCAAUUUUAAGAAUAAAAUUCAAUUGCGUCCCUGCCAAAUUCGAUCCCUACCCCUAUAGUUGGCCGCGUUUUUCAUUUUGGUCCUUGGCCUCUGAUUUUCACAAUUAAACCCCUAAUUGAUCAAUAAGCUUCCAAUUUCUUCAAUUAAACCCCUGAAUCAAUUCCAAACAGCCCCCUUUAUCUUUGCGCCUUCUCCAAAUUGGUCCCUGGUUUCGGAUUUUCACAAUUAAGUCCCUAAUUGGCCAUUAAACUUCAAUAUUUAUGCAAUUAAACCCCUGAUUUGACCCAAUAAAUUCCUAAAAAAUAUAUUUUGGCCCCAAAACUUAAAUUUCUUCUAAUUAAAGCACAAAUUGACUUAAAAAUCAAUUUUUCUUGCAAUCAAAUCUUCUAUAAAUUCAAAUAAAAAUUCAAUUAAGUCCAUAAACAUCCAAAUUUGGGCUUUUCUCCUCAAAAUUCAAAUUUUCCUUCUCAAUAGGGCUUUCAUCCUUCAAGAAUAUACUGUCAAAAAUUCAAUCCUUGUAUUUUUAAAUUCCUUGACCAAUUUAUCUAACUGUUUUCUGAGCGCUUCUGCCUCCUGUUAUUUUCUAACCUCUUUUGGCUAUUUAUUUUAUUUUUCAUGGGGACCCAAAAAUGGGUUACAACAACCUUGUUAUCACAUUGAUCAUCCCAUUAAUUUCCCCUUCAUGAUAUCCUUAAAUAAGAAAAAGCUUAGGGUAUGUGCAACUGUCCUGAAGCUCUUAGACAAUCCAGGAGAAAAAAUUUAUUUGGCACAUCAUAUAUUUCCUUGGACGGUCGUUCAUAAAUCGUAUAUGCUAAAUGUUUUACAUACUCUAAUUAUAACAAAUGAUUAUGUAUGACAGUUCACAUUCUCCUGCAUGAAAGCUCUAUGUACCCAUUAUCUUGGUGACAAUUGACAAGUCGCCGAUGCAAUUCUGCAAUUAUAUUAGAAUGCAAGGAUGAUAUAUUUAUUUAGGAUUUUAUAAAUUAUCCCAUGGCUGUGUAUAUUCAAUAAUUUUGUUUAAUGAUUACAGCCCCACAUCAGUUUCUUGUUCGAGGCUUUUCGGGCCUUCAAUUGAACCUAAACAAAAACAAACUAUUCCAACAUGAACACGAAACAAAGCCGAAGAAGCUAUGGGCUUAAUUAAGCCUUUUUAUACGAGCAAGACGAAUCAGCACGAGAUUUCAAAUUCCUGCAAGAAUUACUAGAACCCACAAACGUGGCAACUCAAGGGCCUCAUCAUCCAAAACCAAAAUGCAAGUACUCCCCUAAAAGAUAAGAUUGUAGGGUUGUACAGGUCUCCUUCUGCAAUUACUUGUCAAGUCCUCCAACUAUUGCCUAAUUCUUAAUCAAGUCCCUCAAUCCAAAUUGGAUAUCCAUCACACAUUAUCCAAUUCACCCGUCACCAUAAAAAAAAUUAAAAAUUGAAAUAACUAAUUUGUUUAAGAUGGAUGGUUCUAUGGUUCUGAUUUACAAAUCUUGAGAUCAAACUUAGAAUCCCAUGAAAGUCUUUGGUUUAGAAUAAAUAAAUCAUCUCUUUUUAGAUUAAAAGUUACUUCUAACACGAUAAUAAAAAAUAGUUAAGUCUAGUUUUAUGAUUUUAAAGAAAAACAUUUAAAAUCAAAAGUCAGUUUAAAAAAGAUCACGAGUAAUUCAUUCUAAAUAUUUACAGUAAACGGAGCCAGAAUUUCAAGAGCCUUUGAUUAUUAAAAUUAACACCUCACUUAAAAUCCAAACAAAUUUAGAAACGCGAGAAAGUCGUUCAGAUAAGGCUGAAAAAAGAAAAAAGAAACCAACGAUUUUUCAAUCUUCCCGCUUAUUGCUUAAUCAAGCAGAGAUGGUGGUUGCUUAGAUUUUCUCCUUCAAUUAUAGUUUAUCGUUCAGUUUCAACCAUAAACAGGCAAGACUCCCACGAAUCCAGGCUGUUUUCGGACACCAAUUAAGAAAUCUGAGAUAUCUCUUCACAUUGCCCUCAAUUAUUUGGUUGUGUCAUCUAGCAGGGCUCUUCUGAGAACGAUAGAGAUUUCUUUGGAUCUGAUGAUUUUGGUCUGAAGCCAAUCAGAACGGAAUCCACAUCAACAACGAAUACUUUCCAGAAAAAGAGUAUAUUUUUUGAAGAAUCUGUUGCAGGUUCCCCAAUGUCAAGAUUUGGCAACUCUCCAAGGUUCAGCGAAGCAGGGGACCAUUUUGACAAUUACUCGAGAUUUGAUUCCUUCAGCAUGAAUGAAGGAGGCUUUUCACCACGAGAAAAGCUUACAAGGUUCGACUCCAUAAACAGCUCCAAAGAUUUUGGCCACAGCCGUGCAUUCUCUUCAUUUGGGUUUUGCAUGUCGGAUUUGGCCCCGAUUUGAUGAUUUUUUGGGUGAAUCUAUUUUAUCUAUAACGUAGUAAGUAAAUAGCUAUUCCCGGAAUAAUAAAGGAAUGUUGAAGUUGAUUCGGCUUUUCCCGGGGAAAAGAUAAAAAGAUCAUUCCUUCUGUAUUUUGGAAUGCUAGAUAUAGGUACGGUGCUCGUAUUGUUUGUUUUCUUCACUAGAGUUUACUGCCCAACAUAAUUCCUGCUUCUUUAUUUUAUUUUCCCCGAAGAAGUUUAUAUAUGGGCAUGGUGCUCAUCAAAUGCAAUAGAUUUUGGAAAUGUAAACAAAAGUAUUUUCUGACAUUACGAGAGGGCUACGGUGCUUGUGCUGGAGUUUACUGCCCCACCUAUCAAAUUGCAGUGGUCAUAUGCAAAGAAAAGUCACUAAAAAGAGCAUCAUCAAUAUUCCAAGAAAGAUGGUCCUUCCAUAAUCAUCGAGUUAAUGGACCACAUACCGACACUGACAUUAAUUGUGUUUUCUUGUAGAAACAGAAAUGGGCCUUCUUCUUAUUACCAUAGGCAUGCUAAUGUGGCUGAUAUUUUUCCAGGACAUUAAACCAUGUCUGGUUGCUCUCCCAAUACUGACAAUCUUGACUCAAACUACUUCAAGGAAAGUUUGCCCAUUGCAUGCUCUUGGAAGCAGCCGGAUUAUCUACUCUAUUUAUGAAACAAAGGGAAUACAAGACGUGGAAUGAGUCCAUGAAAAAGCCAUGGACGUAAAGGUUUCAAAUUGCACAUCAUAGUAGGAACCGAACCAUGGACAUUAUUUGAACUGAGAUCUAAUGUUUUCAAAUUUUCCAUGUUCCUAUUUCAUAAAGGAUGGAUCCGUUGAUUUUAUUGAAAGAAAGGUCAAUAUAUCUCAAACUGGUUAAACUGUCUACUCUGGAAUGAAUGGAACCACUGAUAAUGUUUGAAUCGGGAUCUAUGGCUUCCAAAUUUGCCAAGUUUCAUAUUUUCAAAUGGAUGUAUCCGUUGAUUUGAUUGGAAUAAGGCUUUAGAUAUCUCAAAAUGGUUAUACUAAGGUUGUUAAUUUUAUUUUGUUCUAUCCGGAAUGACCGGUAUUCUUGUUCCAGUUAAAAAAACAAAAUAAACCGAAAUAAAUUUCAUGUCAAUCAGAAUCUUGGCCUGUUCUUGAAAUAAAUCGGCCUGUUUUAUUUGGUGUUAUCCUGGUCUCAGUAUCUGGAUCAUAAAUUAGAAAUAUUAACCUGAGUCGAUCUAAUAUGUUCUCGUCUUAAUAUUUUUUAAGAAAAAAUAUACAGUCUUGAAUUUUUUUUAGUCAAACGAUAUUUUUAUCAAUCGUCCAUAUUGUCUUCAAACCUAUUUAGUUGAUCGGGUCAUAUUCAUUCAACUCUUAUUUUUUUUACUUGUGUUUAAAAUUUAAAAAACAUAAUUUCAAGUUAGUUUUUUAAAUUGUCUAAUGAAAAAGGAAUCGAACAAGUGAUGUAGAGAAAGUCCAUACAAAUUCUUCGAAUUCCCAAUUUCUGAAGGGAUCGAACCUGUAAUCUUGAAAGACUGAUGUAGUUGUGGUGUAGAGAGAGUCCAAAACCGGUGUUUAUUGUCUAGCUUACACUGGUAAGCAAUUCAUAGCACCAAAAAUUAAGAACUGAAGAAAUGCAAUGCCAAUUGUCAUGGUGAAGCAGCGUCAAAUAAAAUGGAACUUGAACAGUGUGAGUUCAUGGGUGAAAAUGAGAGCAUGAAAUUUCACCACCAUUGUUUUCUCGUACUUCUCAGUUUGUUUUUAUUGGUCUCAACAAUCUGUCACUCAAAAGAACAGGCAUUCUAUUUUUGAUCACGAACAGUAGCAUUUGAAAACUAAGAAGGCCAGGCAGUCAAUCCAUCCUUUCAUGAAAAAUAAUCGCUCGCGUCUUGGAGACCAUGUUUGCGUCUAAUGCUUGCCUGCGAAAUUUAUGAAUGAAUUAAGUGCAUGGUUUUUUCAUGGACUCAUUCCACGUCUUGUAGGCCCUUUGUUUCAUAAAUAGAGUAGGCUAGUUACAUGUCCCGCGCGAUGCCGCGGGUCAAUUAUUUUUUAUAUUUUUUAAAAAACUAAAAUUUGAAAGUGUUAGGUCUUUUUACAAAAUUAUACCCAAAAGUCUUAGGUUUGGUUGCAACGCCUAAACCAAGAGUAAUAUCUAUAAUAUUAAUAAUAACAUUAAACUUGCAUGACCCAAAUUUAAGUAGGUUUGGCUACAAUACCAGACCUAAUAGCAUUGGACGUGGGUCUAGUUGCAAGGGUGUGUCAUAAAAAUGUGAUAAUUAAAUAGAUUAAUUAAAAAGAAAAAGACAGAAAAAAAAACCAACAGAAAGAAAAAAACUAAUGAAGAAAAAGAAAAAAAAUAUAUGCAUUAACUAGGUUAACCCUUCAAACCAGGUUAACCCGUCAAACCUUAGAUUCACGUCGUAAAAGUUUGAUAACUAAAUAGGAAAAAACAAAUUAAUGGGUUAACCCAGAAUUAACCGGGCUAACUCGUCAAAUCAGGUUAACCCGUCAAACCCGGAAUCCGUGUCAUGAAAGUUUAAUAACUAAAUAGAAAAAAAAAUUUAACAUUAACAAUUUAAAUUAAACAAAAAAAUUAAUUAAAAAGAAAAAAAAACAAAAAAAAACUAAAGGCAUCAGCCUUUUAACCGUGGACUGCACUGUGCAAUCCAUAGUCAAAUGCAUAAAAAAAAAAAAAAAAAAAAAAAAAACUAAAGACAUCAGCCGAGAACUAUAUAGAAAAAAAUUUAAUAUUAAUAAACUAAAUUAAUUAAAAAGAAGAAAACCUCUAAGAAGUAAAAAAAAUACUAAAUAGAAAAAAAUUUAACAUUAACAAAUUAAACUAAACGAAAAAAAAAUUAAAAAGAUAAAAAAAGCAAAAAAAACAAUUUAAGGUUAACUCGGCAAACCAGGUUAACCAGUUAAAUCUGGGAUUCGUGUCAUGAAUAUUUGAUAACUAAAUAAAAAAAAAGUGAACGUUAACAAACUGAACUAAACAAAAAAAAUUAAUUAAAAUGAAAAAAAAAUUUGGGUUAACUCGUCAAACCAUGUUAACCCGUUAAACUCAGGAUCUGUGUCAUGAAAGUCUGAUAACUAAAUAAAAAAAUUAACAUUAACAAACUAAAUUAAACAAAAAAAAUAUAUGAAAAAAAAAAAACAAAAUUGACGGGUCAACCUAGAAUUAACUGAGUUCACCCGUGAAACCAGGUUAACCCGUGAAACUCGAGAUAUAUGUUAUGAAAGUCAGAUAACUAAAUAUAAAGAAAUUUAAUAUUAACAAACUAAACUAAACAAAAAAAAAGCAAAAAAAUAAUUUCUAAGUUAACUUGUCAAACCAGGUUAAUGUGUUAAACUCAGAAAACAUUUCAUGAAAGUUUGAUAACUAAAUAAAAAAAAUUUAACAUUAAUAAACUAAAUUAAACAAAAAAAAAGAAUUUGUUAAAAGAAAAAAAAAAGAAAGAAAAAAAAAAAUAAUCCCGAAAUGCAUUAAAAAAAACAACUAAAAAAAUAAGACAACUUAAAAAAAAAACUAGUAUAUGUUACAAUAAUCCGGUUGCUUCCAAGAGCAUGCAAUGGGCAAACUUUCCUUGAAGUAGUUUGAGUCAACAUCGUCACUAUUCGCCCCCGCGCGCGCGCGCACCCAACUGAACUUGCACGUCAAUGUAGACUAAUAAUCAGCUUGUCCUAGCCUACAAGUCGAGUCCAACCUAACCAAUCUACUGUUAUUGUAAAAAAAUAAAAUUCAUAAGAAUUUAUAAUACAAAUAAUAAUAUGUUUUCAAUAUUAAUAAUAAUAUUUUCUUUCAAAUUUAUUAAUUUUUUUUAUUAAUAAUAUUAAUUAUAAUAAAAAUAAUAAUAUUUAUAAUACAAAUAAUUAUAUUUAGAAUCCUAGGACUGAGCGCCAAGUAGCUAUAGCCUGAAGGGGUGGCCAGUGGAUGUUGCAUGCCCAGCGCCCAAGGUAGCCAAGCGCUAGGUGUCCGCAACCUCAGUAGGCACGCCUCUAGCCUGAUGCUUGCAGCUUGAUAGUCGCAGCCUCACACAUGUUCCUGUUAAACAGUGCUGUACAUAAUAAAAAUUUAUAGUACUCCGUGCUACAGUAUGUAACAUUAUAAUCUAUAAUGAAUUCACUUACUUUGCACAAUAGCCUGCACUAUGGUAAAAUACUGAUAAGUAUUAGUAAGAGGAUAGCUUUUCCUGGAAUAAUAAUUGAAUGCUGAAGUUGAUUCGGCUUUUUCCGGGGAAAAGAAAAAAGAUAAUUCCUUCUGUAUUUUGGAAUGCUAGAUAUAGGUAUGGUGCUCGUAUUGUUUUCUUCACUUGAGUUUACUGCCCCACAUAAUUCCUGCUUCUUCAUUUUAUUUUCCCCGAAGAAGUUUAUAUAUGGGCAUGGUGCUCAUCAAAUGCAAUAAUAGAUUUUGGAAAUUUAAACUAAAGUAUUUUCUGACAUUACGAGAGGGCUACGGUGCUUGUGCUGGAGUUUACUGCCCCACCUAUCAAAUUGCAAAGAAAAGUCACUAAAAAAGAGCAUCAUCAAUAUUACAAGAAAGAUGGUCCUUCCAUAAUCAUCGAGUUAAUGGACCACAUACCGACACUGACAUUAAUUGUGUUUUCUUAUGGAAUCACACUAUUGCCGCUCCCAACACGGCAAAGUGACUAAGGUGGUGAUUUUUGUUGUGGUAGCUGGAGGUGGAGGAGGAGUGAGGGAGGUUGGUGUGAUGGAUAUGGAGUUACCAGUACACUACUAGUUGUGCUCUCAUCUAAGCAGCUUCGAUCCAUUUCUUUUUUUUCUUUUCAAAUAAAAAUGCAAUUGAUACUGUAAAAUUAGAGAGGUUUUUUUUUUUUUAAAGCAAAAAAAAUACUAUUUAGCCGGAACGGAACCGGAAUGCUCUAGCCAAAAUUUAAUCGAAAUAUUUUGUCUGAGAUUUUCAAAAUAGAUCGAGAUUCGGAUUAGAUGAAAUUUAUUUUGGUUUAUUUUGUUUUUUAAAGUGGAACAAAAAUACCAUUCAUUCCGAAGAGAACAUAAUAGAAUUAACAAUCUUAAUAUAAUUAUUUUGAGAUAUCUAAAACAUUAUUUCAAUCAAAUCAACGAAUCCAUCCCUUUAAAAAUAUAAAACUUGGCAAAUUUAGAAGCCAUAGAUCUCUAUUCAAAUAAUAUCAGUGGUUCCAUUCAUUCCAGAGUAGGCAAUUUAUCCAAUUUGAGAUAUAUUAACCUUUUUUCCGAUCAAAUCAACAGAUCCAUCUUUUAUGAAAGAGUGAACAUGGAAAAUUUGAAAACAUUAGAUCUCAGUUCAAAUAAUCCGGUUGCUUCCAAGAGCAUGCAAUGGGCAAACUUUCCUUGAAGUUGUUUGAGUCAAGAUCGUCACUAUUCGCCCCCGCGCGCACGCGCACCCGACUGACCUUGCACGUCAAUGUAGACUAAUAAUCAGCUUGUCCUAGCUUACAAGUUGAGUCCAACCUAACCAAUCUACUGUUAUUGUAAAAAAAAAAAAAAAAAAAAAGCAAUCCAAUUCCCAAUUCAAUAUAUACAGAAUCUAUAAAAAUUAAAAAUAUUACAUUGCAGCUACGAUUAUCUCUGGAAAAAAGUUUAAGAAAAAAAAGUAUACUUGCAUUAUUUACAAAUUAAAAUUUAAAAGCUGUUUGAAAACAUAGUUGAAAUUAUGUUUUUUUAAAAAUAAUUUUUUAUUUAAUUAUUUUUCUAAUAAAAAAUUUGAAUGUGGUGAAAAUAUAAAAAUUAACUUUUUUAUAUUAUUAAAUUGUUUUGAUGUGAUGAUGUGAAAAAUAAUUUUUUAAUAAUAAAAUUUUAUUAUUUUAAUAUAUUUUCAAACAAAAAAUAUUUUAAAAAAUAAUUAUUAACAUAAUCACAAAUAUGAAAUUUUCUUGCUUACUUUCGAAUCCAAAAUCUUGACCUUCAAUGAAAAUCAUGUCUCAAAAUUUUUUAUCAUGGUUCCUUGCUGAAAAUGCACAGGAUAUCAACAAACCUUCAAUGCACAUAAAUGUAGGAGAGAUAAUGUUUUCACUAUUUCAACUUAAAUCUACAAGACAUGGGCAGUACGAUGAUCAGAAUACGACUAUGUAUUAGCAUUAUUUUUCUACUCGGUCUCUUUCCACGAAAAUCAGGGAGAAUAGAAUAGAAUUAACUGCUGGCCUUCUUAAUUCCCAAAAUCCACUAUUGGUGAUUUGUAAGCCUUUUUCUUAAUCACAACGCGUGAAAGACCAGACGAUCUUGACUUGGAACGAGUCCAUGGGAAUUGAUGCCAUGCACUUUAUUAAUAAAUUUAGCAUUAUCAUUGAAGUGAAGCAUUAGACACAAACAUGGCGUCCAUUGUUUAUGAGCCAAAACUUCUUGCAAUUUUAAGCAUCUCAUUUUUCUUGUCCUGUAUUUUUGUAUCUGUGGCUGCACGUGAUGACUCGGCCUUGCUAGCAUCAGAAGGCAAGGCUUUGCUUGAGAGUGGAUGGUGGAGUGACUACAGCAACCUCACCUCACAUCGUUGCAACUGGACUGGCAUACUCUGUGAUCGGGCUGGAAGCAUCACUGAGAUUUCCCCACCUUAUCUAGUGGGAAAUAAGUUUGGAAAGAUGAACUUUUCUUGCUUCUCAAACCUUGCCCGUCUCGACCUGGCCAACCAUGAGCUCAGUGGGAGCAUCCCGCCUCAAAUUUCUAUCCUUCCUCAACUCAGAUACCUCAACCUGUCCUCAAAUAAUCUAGCAGGUGAGUUACCGUCUUCACUUGGAAAUCUCAGCCGAUUGGUUGAGCUUGAUUUUUCUUCCAAUUAUCUCAACUAUUCCAUCCCUCCAGAACUAGGCAAUCUUAAAAAUCUUGUUACUUUGAACUUGUCUUAUAACAGCUUCAGCGGCCCAAACCCUUCGGCACUUUGUCAUUUGGACAAUCUAACGCAUUUAUUUAUGGAUCAUAAUAGUCUCGAAAGUGCCCUCCCUAGAGAAAUAGGGAACAUGAGAAAUCUAGAGAGUUUGGACGUGAGUUAUAAUACACUUAAUGGUCCAAUCCCUCGAACAUUGGGUAGGUUAGCCAAGUUGAGGUCUUUGAUCAUUCGUUAUGCCAAAAUCAGUGGAUCCAUUCCUUUGGAAAUAGGAAAUUUGACCAACCUUGAAGAGUUAGACCUCUCUCACAACCAAAUCAACGGAUCCAUCCCUUUGGAAAUACAAAACUUGACAAAUUUCUUUUUAUCCAAUUUGAUUCUUCUAGAUCUUUCAUACAACCAAAUCACCGGUUUGAUUCCUUUUUCAUUAGGCAAUUUAACAAACUUGGCAAGGCUAGACCUCUCUCACAACCAAAUCAACGGAUCCAUCAUUGUAGAAAUACAGAACUUGACAAAUUUGGAGGAAUUAUAUUUGAAUUCAAACAAUAUCAGUGGUUCAAUUCCUUCAACUUUGAGCCUUUUAUCUAAUUUGAUUCUUCUAGAUCUUUCCUACAACCAAAUCACCGGUUUGAUUCCUUUUUCAUUAGGCAAUUUAACAAACUUGGCAAGGCUAAACCUCUCUCACAACCAAAUCAACGGAUCCAUCCUUGUAGAAAUACAGAACUUGACAAAUUUAGAGGAAUUAUAUUUGAAUUCAAACAAUAUCAGUGGUUCGAUUCCUUCAACUUUGAGCCUUUUAUCCAAUUUGAUUUUUCUAGAUCUUUCCUCCAACCAAAUCACCGGUUUGAUUCCUUUUUCAUUAGGCAAUUUAACAAACUUGGCAAGGCUAAACCUCUCUCACAACCAAAUCAACGGAUCCAUCCUUGUAGAAAUACAGAACUUGACAAAUUUGGAGGAAUUAUAUUUGAAUUCAAACAAUAUCAGUGGUUCGAUUCCUUCAACUUUGAGCCUUUUAUCCAAUUUGAUUUUUCUAGAUCUUUCCUACAACCAAAUCACCGGUUUGAUUCCUUUUUCAUUAGGCAAUUUAACAAACUUGACAACUCUAUACUUCUCUCACAACCAAAUCAACGGAUCCAUCCCUUCAUCUUUGAAGUAUUGUAAUAAUUUGUUCUCCCUAGAUUUAAGCUUCAAUAAUUUAAGUGAAGAGAUACCCUCCGAACUAUAUGGUUUGACCUAUUUAAAAUAUGUGAAUUUUCGUUACAAUAACCUCUCAGGCUCUGUUUCCUUCCAUUGGCUACAACUCUUUCAUGUGUAUUUCACCUGUGAUUCUCUUCAUAGCCAAAGAACCAACAAUCCUGAAAUUUUUCAAGAUACUGCAUUUGAGGGCAAUAAAGAUUUACACCCUGAUUUCUCACGUUGUCUAUCUAUUUACUCCCCACCUUCACAAACCUACUUGUUACCUUCAAAAGACAACAUAAGGAUUCAUUCCAUCAAGAUAUUUCUUCCUAUCACCACCAUUUCACUUUGUCUCUUGUGCCUCGGAUGUUGUUAUCUGUCUCGACGCAAGGCUACCCAACCCGAGCCAGCAUCAUCAAAGAAUGGAGACUUGUUUUCCAUAUGGAAUUAUGAUGGGACGAUUGCAUACGAAGACAUCAUUGCAGCGACCAAGAACUUUGACCUCAGAUACUGUAUCGGAACCGGUGGUUAUGGGAGCGUCUACCGAGCACAACUUCCAAGUGGGAAAUUAGUUGCCUUGAAGAAACUUCAUCGUCGAGAGGCAGAGGAGCCGGCUUUUGACAAGAGUUUCAAAAAUGAGGUGGAAGUGCUCACACAAAUACGUCACAGGAGCAUUGUAAAGCUUUAUGGAUUUUGUUUGCACCAGCGCUGCAUGUUUCUUGUUUACGAGUACAUGGAAAAGGGAAGCUUGUUUUGUGCCUUGAGAAAUGAUGUUGGAGCUGUGGAAUUGAAAUGGAUGAAAAGAGCAGGCAUCAUCAAAGACAUUGCUCACGCAUUAUCUUACUUGCAUCAUGACUGCAACCCGCCAAUUGUUCAUCGAGACAUAUCAAGCAGCAAUGUUCUGUUGAAUUCAGAAUCCAAGUCUUUUGUUGCUGAUUUUGGCGUGGCUAGACUUCUCGAUCCUGAUUCGUCCAACCAUACUGUACUUGCUGGUACCUAUGGAUACAUUGCCCCAGGUAAAAAUAUUUCUUCUUAACAUGCAUAUUUACCACUCAUGCACUGUAAAACUAAAGCAAACUCUCUUUUAAAUAUAUAUAUUAAUUUCGUUUUGUAUAUGGACAGAGUUUGCUUAUACUAUGGUGGUGACAGAGAAAUGUGAUGUGUACAGCUUCGGAGUUGUGGCGCUUGAAACUUUGAUGGGUAGGCAUCCGGGAGAUGUCCUAUCAUCAUCUGCUCAGGCUAUUACAUUGAAAGAAGUGUUAGAUCCUCGUUUGCCACCUCCAACAAAUGAGAUUGUCAUACAGAAUAUAUGUACCAUUGCAAGUCUCAUAUUUUCUUGCUUACAUUUAAAUCCAAAAUAUCGACCUUCAAUGAAAUUCGUGUCUCAAGAAUUUCUAUCUCCCAAGAGAUUAUUGGGAGGUCUCGAGAUUUCUUUGUUGGAGCUGCGAAAUCUUGGCUGGCACACAAAUGUAGGUGAGAUCACACUUCCUCGCUGAAAAAGUCAACUUCGAUCUUGCAUGGAACUUCAACGAGAGCCUCCAAGAGCAUGCCUUUAUAGUAUUAACUAUAGCUUUAAAGGUGUUGGAAAAUAAACUGAUCAUCUCUUUUUUCAACAUGGGAGGAUUAACUUGUGCAGCUACCUCACUCCAUCUUCG
rnacentral:lncRNA from 1 species